rnacentral:rRNA from 1 species
UACGUAGGGUGCGAGCGUUGUCCGGAAUUACUGGGCGUAAAGAGCUUGUAGGCGGUCUGUCGCGUCGAUUGUGAAAACUUGCAGCUCAACUGCAAGCUUGCAGUCGAUACGGGCAGACUAGAGUACUGCAGGGGAGACUGGAAUUCCUGGUGUAGCGGUGAAAUGCGCAGAUAUCAGGAGGAACACCGGUGGCGAAGGCGGGUCUCUGGGCAGUAACUGACGCUGAGAAGCGAAAGCGUGGGGAGCGAACGGG